rnacentral:rRNA from 1 species
CGUACACUCCUACGGGAGGCAGCAGUGGGGAAUAUUGGACAAUGGGCGCAAGCCUGAUCCAGCCAUGACGCGUGAGUGAUGAAGGCCCUAGGGUUGUAAAGCUCUUUCACCGGUGAAGAUAAUGACGGUAACCGGAGAAGAAGCCCCGGCUAACUUCGUGCCAGCAGCCGCGGUAAUACGAAGGGGGCUAGCGUUGUUCGGAUUUACUGGGCGUAAAGCGCACGUAGGCGGACUAUUAAGUCAGGGGUGAAAUCCCGGGGCUCAACCCCGGAACUGCCUUUGAUACUGGUAGUCUUGAGUUCGAGAGAGGUGAGUGGAAUUCCGAGUGUAGAGGUGAAAUUCGUAGAUAUUCGGAGGAACACCAGUGGCGAAGGCGGCUCACUGGCUCGAUACUGACGCUGAGGUGCGAAAGCGUGGGGAGCAAACAGGAUUAGAAACCCGAGUAGUCCCA